rnacentral:rRNA from 1 species
AGCGAACGCUGGCGGCAGGCCUAACACAUGCAAGUCGAACGAACUCUUCGGAGUUAGUUGCGGACGGGGGAGUAACACGUCGGAACGUUCCUUUUGGUUCGGAAUAACUCAGUUAAACUUGUGCUAAUACCGAAUGUGCCCUGCUGGUAAAAGAUUUAUCGACAUUAGAGCGGCCCGCGUCUGUUUAGCUUGUCGGGGAGGUAACGGCUCACCAAGGCUACGAUCAGUAGCUGGUAAGAGAGGAUGACUAGCCACACUGGGACUGAGACACGGCGCAGAAUACUACGCGAGGGGGGAGAGGCGGAUCUUGCGAAACCGGCGAAGGGAUGAAGCAGUUAUGGUGGGUGAACGAUGAAGGUGUGAGGAAAGAACAAUUCUUUAACAGCCGACGAUAAUGACGGUACCCGGAGAAUAAGCCCCGGCUAACUUCGUG